rnacentral:rRNA from 1 species
UCAGGCCUAACACAUGCAAGUCGAGGGGUAGAACAUUUCGGUGUUUGAGACCGGCGCACGGGUGCGUAACGCGUUUGCAACCUACCUUUUACAGGGGAAUAGCCCAGAGAAAUUUGGAUUAAUGCCCCAUGGUAUAUUUAGAUGGCAUCAUCUGAUUAUUAAAGUUCCAACGGUAAAAGAUGGGCAUGCGUCCUAUUAGCUAGAUGGUAAGGUAACGGCUUACCAUGGCAACGAUAGGUAGGGGUCCUGAGAGGGAGAUCCCCCACACUGGUACUGAGACACGGACCAGACUCCUACGGGAGGCAGCAGUGAGGAAUAUUGGACAAUGGGCGCAAGCCUGAAAGAGCCAUGCCGCGUGCAGGAAGAAGCAUCUAUGGUGUAAAGGUGCUUUGUACGGGAAGAAACACUCCUACGGUAGGAGCUGAC